rfam:Schistosoma rodhaini strain Burundi genome assembly, scaffold: SROB_scaffold0003922
AUCCGGCUGAUAAGUCCUAAAUAAGACUAAACGCGUGUCAAACUGGAU